rnacentral:lncRNA from 10 species
AUGUUUGCCAAAGAGUGCAAAGUUUCAGUUACAUGGGAGGAAUCAGUUCUGGUGGUUUAUUGCAAAACAUGGUGACUAUAGUUAAUGUACUAUGUAUUUCAAAACAUCUAAAAGAAAAGAUUUUAAGUGUUCUCACUACAAAGCAAUGAUAAAUAUUUGAGAUGCUGAACUUUUUAAUACUUACAUUCUUAAGUUUUUCAAGGCUUUUCUAAUAAGUCUGGCAUUCCUGCCCUUGGCAGUGUGAGAUGGAAGAUGAUGUCGCAAGGGUGGCCGAGAAGCAGCUGGGCUGAGCUGCUAAAAGCACAGAGACCGGGGCCAGACUCCUCAGCCUGAAAUCCUGCUUCCACUAAGUACCAGCUGGGUAACUUCAGGUGGAGCCCAGUUGACAGGAAAUGUUUCUCCAGAAGCUGAAAAGCUGCCUGGUAAAGGCCUUUCAUAAAAUGGUCUGCGUUUGGGACCAGGAAGACAGAAGACUCCUCAAGAAGAGAACUGGAACCUUAACCCACUUCAGACUUCUUCAUGUCUGAAGCUUAUUUCCACCAUCCCAUUGAGAACCAAAGAAGCGAGCUCCUUGGAGAAUCGGCUCCCACCUGGACCUUCUGUUUAUCCUUCCAAUAGCUGCUGCAUUCAUCCUUCCCAGCUAAUGACACUUCCAGCCUUUCGUGUUUCAAAGUAUCACGGACUUUGCAAAAGAUUCCAGGUUUCUAUGGAGCAGAUAGUACUUUUAACAAUCAACAUGUGCAUUAUUAUUUCCUCCUAAGGCAUACUUAGACAUCAAUGCAUGCUACAGCAAGGCAACUUAUCUCACCCUCACCAAGGUGGCUUCUUCUUGGAUAUCUGAAUGGUGGUGAGAUCAACCUCUGGGCCAGCCAAGUAUGGAACUCAAUCCAAAACAACGGACUUCUUUUGUUUCGUGUCAGUUCAGCUUCCUACAAACAAAAUUAAAGCAGCAUUGGUUUAGUAAUUGGAAAUGCAUAUCAAAGAAAAGAAGCUUAACUCAAAACAGAUUUUCCUAACCAUCUUCAAUGUACAUGUGUAGGAGAAAUGCAUUCUUUAUUUGUAGCAGUGCAAAUGUCAGUGAUUACAAACAUGUGUGUGACUGUUUGCCAGCAAUUUGUUCUUGCCCUUGGAUGAUCAGACCCUUACGGAAUCUAGGCAGACUGUGGAACUUCCAUUGGCUUCCACUGGCUUUGGUGUGAAAUAUAGAGAUAUGAGUAGUGGUGACAAGAGGGGACACGGGAAAGGCCCGUGGGAAUAGGCCUUUGAGGGGAAGCACGCUGAUCUCUUGUUCUGCAGCGCAUGCUUGGGAUGGUAUGCGCAUGCCUUCUCUCACUAAGACUAGGACUGCUUACAGAAUGCGAAUAUAAGUAUCCUUAUUUGGGAGAAAAGUACAUUUUCAAGGGCUGGUAAAAUGACGUGGAGGAAGGGAGGAUCCAGGGAGCCUUCUGAAGAGUAUUGUCAGGAUGUCUCUUCUCUUUCAGCCACCUGGAUAUGUUUCACAUUUUGUUUCCCAAACAAGGACUAGAUUGGAUCCCAGAAGGGAAUGGUUUCCUUAGUAUACAUUCCGAAUUCCUUUGUAAGGGAAAAAUCCACUUCAUCUGGUCUAAGAAUACGUAAGAACAAAUGAAAAUGUUGUGGCUGGAGAUGUUCCUGAGUUAAUAUCAGGAUGUUUGCCUGCUGGUUUCUGUUUUACCAAACAAAACAUAGCUGCCAAUUCAUCCAUCUGUAAAAGUGCUCCUUGUGGACCCCCUCAAGAGAAGUACUGGUUAUUUUAUUUGCAGAAAACGUUUUAUUGGGAGUUGUUUACUUUCUGUGACUGAAGUGGGGAACAUGAGGGUCCCUUUACGGAGCCCUCAUAUUCCAUGUGUACUCUGUAUUUUAUUGAGGCUGUUUCCCAGUCAGAACAGCGUCUCUCUUUGUUUGUCAUUCCAAAUCUUUCAGUGUCUUUAGAGCUCUGAGGGCCCUGGAGAGCCUCACCCAACCUCUCAUCCUUCCAUGGCUGUCCCCACCUCUGUGCACUUAUGAGUCAAUGUUGCCGCACUUCAUUACAUGCUGUUCAUAUUACAGCAUUAUAAGAUUUUUUCUUUUAAAAGCCUAUCUUCUUCAAUCGGGUAGUAAGACCAUUGUGGGUUGAGGCAUGUUUCAUACUUCCCACAUAAUCACUCCAGACUUAAAACAGAACCGGAAAUACAUGAAAUAAAAAAUUAUUUUUCUGUUCUCAAAUAAAAA